rnacentral:rRNA from 1 species
GCUUACGGCCAUACAACCCUGUCUGCGCCCGAUCUUGUAUGAUCUUGGAAGCUAAGUAGGGUUGGGCCUGGUUAGUACAUGGAUGGGAGACC